CUGAACUUGGCAGGAAAAUCAGUAGGAGUAAGUGGCGGAGGCAUGGGACUGGCAGAGAUACGGCAGCCCCUGUGGAGAGGCUGUCUACAGAUAACAUAACAAUAACAACAGGAUCUGCGGGGUUCCUGCAUGCGUGUUGGCUUCACUGGAGAAACUAAUCAAGUGGUGCAGUUUGGACACAGAGACUGACACACAGGAAGAAUACCAUGUGAAGACUGGAGUUUUGCAUAGAGAAGCCAAGGAGCUACCAGAAGCUAGGAGAAUGGCCUGGAACAGACCUUUCCUUAGUGCCUUCAGAGAGAGCAUGGCGCUGCCAACAUCUUGAUCUCAGACUUCCAGCAUCCUGAAUUGUGAGAUAAAUUUCUGCUGUUUAAACCAUAUAAUUUGUGAUACUUUGCUAUGGCAACUGUCACAGCUAUUAUAAGCACCUAACCCUUUUUUUAAUCUUUUAAGAAACUUUUUGCUUUCAUCUACUUUUUUUGUUCUGGUUAUUCCAUAUUUUACUUUAAGAUUUAGUCUUCUGUCAAUAAAGCAAUAAUUUCAGAUCAAUUUC
rnacentral:lncRNA from 10 species